AUGAAGAACGUAGUGAAAUGCGAUAAGUAAUGUGAAUUGCAGAAUUCAGUGAAUCAUCGAAUCUUUGAACGCACAUUGCGCCCAUUAGUAUUCUAGUGGGCAUGCCUGUUCGAGCGUCAUUAAGUCCACUUAAGCCCUGCUUAGUGUUGGGAGACUGCUCCAGCGGUGCUACCCUGUAGCUACCCUGCAGCUCCUCAAAGACAGCGGCGGAGUUGUGGUAUCCUCUGAGCUUAGUAACUUGUUCUAGCUUUCGAGUACACCACUUCCCCUGCCGUAAAACCCUUAAUUUUUAAUGGUUGACCUCGGAUCAGGUAGGAAUACCCGCUGAACUUAAGCAUAUCAAUAAGCGGAGGA
rnacentral:misc_RNA from 1 species